rnacentral:rRNA from 1 species
GACGAACGCUGGCGGCGCGCUUAACACAUGCAAGUCGAGCGAGAACCAGGGCUUCGGCUCUGGGGACAGCGGCGAACGGGUGAGUAACACGUGGGUCAUCUGCCCUCGGCACCGGAAUAGCCCGGGGAAACCCGGAUUAAUGCCGGAUGGCCCCUUCACCUCGCGAGGUGUCGGGAAAAGGUAGCUUUGGCCUCCGGCCAAGGAUGAGCCCGCGGCGGAUUAGCUUGUUGGCGGGGUAACGGCCCACCAAGGCAACGAUCCGUCGCUGGUCUGAGAGGACGAUCAGCCACACUGGGACUGAGACACGGCCCAGACUCCUACGGGAGGCAGCAGUGGGGAAUCUUGCGCAAUGGGCGAAAGCCUGACGCAGCGACGCCGCGUGAGGGAAGAAGGCCUUCGGGUUGUAAACCUCUUUCAGGAGGGACGAAGCCACUCGGGUGAAUAGCCCAGAGGGUGACGGUACCUCCAGAAGAAGCCCCGGCUAACUACGUGCCAGCAGCCGCCGUAAUAC